AUGUGUGUCCCAAAAAGGCAAGAAGGUAUGGGGUUUAGAGAUAUACAUUGUUUCAACAUGACCUUGUUAGCCAAACAAGCAUGGCGUUUGCUUGAUAAUCUCGAGUCCUUAUGCGCUUCUAUCUUGAGAGCUAAAUACUUCCCGGAAGGUGAUUUAAUGAAUGCUAGCCUAGAAAAGGGCUCCUUUUUUACUUGGCAAAAUAUUAUGACGGGAGUGAAUUCUCUAAAAAAUGGUUACAUCUGGAGAGUUGAAAAUGGACAAAAUAUUGAUAUUUGA
rnacentral:rRNA from 1 species